ACAUACAGUGUAAUAAAUUGAAGUGACUGUCCCCAUUUGGGAAGCCAUAUUGCAUGAUUUGGCAAUAAUAAAACAAUUGUGGAAGGUCUACAUUCAAGCUGUUACCGCAAAGCAGAAAAAAGACUUUACGAAGUACAGAAUCACAACCAACAGACUCUCCUCAUGUAUUUUUCAAAGCAAGAGACACACCCAUGAGGAUGAUGCCUUGCCAGAAUUAUAUUUAUAUUUUUGUUAGGCUCAAGCCAAUGUCUCUGGCUCUGACCGUGCUGUACCUGAAUAGGGAUCCCAGGGUCGAUUCCGAUUCCUCGGAAGAAUCGAUUCCUUGCGCUAGGUUAACGUUCCAUUGUGAAAAUUGUGUCCGGCCAAAUAUGCACUUUAAUAAAAUUCUAAAAGUUGAGUGUGAUGUCUCCGCCAAGCGAAGUGUGGCUGCACUUUAAAAAAGUCGGAAUGAGAGAAAAAGUGCAUUGUUCCCACUGUCUCGUGGAUCUCACUUUUUGCAAUAGCACUUCAUCUAUGACAAAGCACCUACAGAAAGUUCAUCAGGUUAAUUAAUUUCAACAAAACAAAAGAGAAACACCUAUAAAAGGGUAGUACGAGAAAUUGAAUAUUCGCGAUUAUAUGUCCGGCAAAGCCUAACCUCAAAAUUCAAUGCCCUCAUCAUACUGAAUAAGUACCAACUUCGUCAAGCGAAGUGAAGAAGAUGAAAACUCGCAAUAGUACCUGCAAUCUGAGUGCGUCUUUUGAAAAAUAUCUUCCUUUUCUCGUGGAGGUCAGCGUUAUGCUGAUGCAACUGACGCUCUGUUAUAUAUGAUAGUAGCAGAUAAUUAGCCCCUAUCCAUGACUGAGAGAAAGGGAUUUAAAGAAUUUGUCAGAACUUUGCAGCCGCUUUAUAACCCCCCAAGCGCUGAAACUGUCACGGCGAUGAUGGAAAAUAAGUAUGAAGUUCAAAGGUAAAAAUGAAGAGUAUCCUCUCUACAAAAACCAAUAUUAUACUCACAACCGAUUUGUGGAAGGAAUCGAUGACCACACGGGCUUACUUAGGCAUAACUGCUCACUAUUUAGAUGCAUGGAGAUGAAAUCUGUUCAAAUUGGAGCUAGGCCUGUACCCGAAAGAAAGACAAUUGAAAAUCUAGCUAGCAUCCUCAGGGUUCUCUGCUUAGAUUGGGGGCUGGAUAUCGCAAAUGUGAAGGCUAUUGAUACGGAUAAUGGGCCAAACGUUGUUGGAGCGCGUAAUCAAGUGUUAAGUGCUCAGAAACAAAUCUCUUCCUUAGCUCACAAUUUAAAUCUAGCAGUUACGGAUGCGUUAGGUUGAUAUAAAACCAACAACCAGAUGGAUCAAGAAGAAGUUCCGUUGCCCUUGCCUGUCUUUGAAGAUAGCGAAGAUGAAAAGGACCAAAUAAUUCUAGAUGUAGACGUUGAAGAUAGAGGGCGAGACGAUGACUUACCUUCUUUCAAGACAGUCGUCUCGAAAUUAAAGAUGAUUGUAAAAUUCUUUAGAAAAAGUGAACGGGCUUCUGAAAGAUUAAAAUUGCUACAGAUGACUGAGUGGAGGAAAGCUGAGGCAGAGUGCUUGACACUAAUCCAAGAGGUUCGCACCAGAUGGAACUCAGUUUAUCAGAUGCUCGACCCAUUCCUCCUAUUGUGCGAACUCGUAAAGCGAGUUCUUGCGAAAAUAACACGAGAGAAAAAUAGCAAGGAAAAGCCACCACCAAUGAUUACGGGAGAAGAGGAGGAACUUGCAAGGGAGGUUCGGGAUCUUCUAAAACCAGCAUGGCAAGUCACAAAGGAGAUCUGCGGGGAGAAGUCGUAACAUUAAGCAAGGCCAUCCCUAUCUGUUCACUUCUGAGCAAGACUUUAAGAGAGUGCAACGCAGUCCACCCAGUUUCUUUCAAUAUUAAGCACUCAUUACUCGCCGAAAUUGAAAAGCGAUUGGGCUUCAUGGAGAAACUAUCGAUGCCUGCUAAGGCCACCAUCCUCGACCCCUGAUUCAAGAAACUACACUUCACAGAUGCUGGAAAGUUUGCGAGAGCACUGUCAUCUAUUGAUAGGGAGUUAAAGGCGAAAAUUGCGGAGACGGGGGAUGAGGAACGCGCUAGGGACAUGCCACAGGAUCAGCCUGGAGAUAGCCAGGUGAACGACAUCUGGGUUAAUCACGAUGCCUUGCGUUCGCAACAGUUACCCGAGGCGGACACUGAUACUGCUGGAAGCUUAUCUGUAGAGCUCCGACAGUACUUAAAUCGGUCAACCGCUCCUCGCUAUGUGAAUCCAUUCGAAGAAUGGAAUAACAUCAAGCAUGCGUAUCCAAAUUUGUAUAAGGUAGCAUUAGAGUAUUUGCCCAUUCUGGCAACUUUAGUGCCUUCCGAGAGGCUGUUUUCUAAAGCUGGUCAAAUUAUUAACAAGCUCAUAAACAGGCUCUUGAGAAAGCACUUAAACCAGCUAAUAUUUUUAGCGUCGCUGGACUUUGAAAUGUGGAUAUAAAUUUCCAUUUAAUAAUUGAAUUUAAUAAGGUUGCACAUUAAUUUUGAGUUUGAUUGAUUUUCUGUC